rnacentral:rRNA from 1 species
CCUACGGGAGGCAGCAGUGGGGAAUAUUGCACAAUGGGCGAAAGCCUGAUGCAGCAACGCCGCGUGAGCGAUGAAGGCUUUCGGGUCGUAAAGCUCUGUCCUCAAGGAAGAUAAUGACGGUACUUGAGGAAGAAGCCCCGGCUAACUACGUGCCAGCAGCCGCGGUAAUACGUAGGGGGCUAGCGUUAUCCGGAUUUACUGGGGGUAAAGGGUGCGUAGCUGGAUUCUUAAGUCGGAGGUGAAAGGCUGCGGCUCAACCCGGGUAAGCCUUUGAAACUGGGCAACUUGAGUGCAGGAGAGGAGAGUGGAAUUCCUAGUGUAGCGGUGAAAUGCGUAGAUAUUAGGAGGAACACCAGUGGCGAAGGCGGCUUUCUGGACUGUAACUGACGUUGAGGCACGAAAGCGUGGGGAGCAAACAGGAUUAGAUACCCUAGUAGUC